GACGAACGCUGGCGGCGUGCUUAACACAUGCAAGUCGAGCGGAAAGACCCGGCGUUUGUUGGUUUCUCGUUAGGCGAACGGGUGAGUAACACGUGUGUAUCCUGCCCUUGUCUUUGUGGUAACUUUACGGGACUCGGGCUAAUAUCCGAGAGGAUCUCCUGCUGCAUGUUGUUCAUUGGUAAGUUUCGGCGGUGGGGUAUGGUCUCGCUGCUUAUGAGCUUCUUUGUGUGGUAGUGGUGUACCAAGGCUUUGACGGGUAGCCGGCCUGAGAGGGUGGCCGGCCACCAUGGGACUGCGGGACGCACCAGAAGCGUACGGGAGGCAGCAGUCGGGAAUAUUACAGAAUGGGGGGAAGCCUGAUGCAGCAGCGUUGCGUGCGGGAUAACGUCCUUCUGGUGGUAAACAGAUUUCGCCUGUGACGAAGAGUGCGUGACGGUAAUGGGUCAAGAAGCAACGGCUAACUACGUG
rnacentral:rRNA from 1 species